rnacentral:rRNA from 1 species
CUUUAGUACGAUGCCGUAGACCCGAAACCGGGUGAUCUACCCAUGUCCAGGGUGAAGGUCGGGUAACACCGACUGGAGGCCCGAACCCACGCAAGUUGAAAAUUGCGGGGAUGAGGUGUGGGUAGGGGUGAAAUGCCAAUCGAACUCGGAAAUAGCUGGUUCUCCCCGAAAUAGCUUUAGGGCUAGCCUCGAGUGAUGAGUCUUGGAGGUAGAGCACUGAUUGGACGAGGGGUCCCCACAGGAUUACCGAAUUCAGUCAAACUCCGAAUGCCAAUGACUUUAACUCGGGAGUCAGACUGCGAGUGCUAAGAUCCGUAGUCAAGAGGGAAACAGCCCAGACCAUCAGCUAAGGUCCCCAAGUAUACGUUAAGUGGAAAAGGAUGUGGAGUUGCCCAGACAACCAGGAUGUUGGCUUAGAAGCAGCCAUCAUUGAAAGAGUGCGUAAUAGCUCACUGGUCGAGUGACUCUGCGCCGAAAAUGUACCGGGGCUAAACGUAUCACCGAAGCUAUGGCAAUCCCGUAAGGGAUUGGGUAGGGGAGCGUUCCAAGGACAGCGAAGCUAGAUCGUGAGGACUAGUGGAGUGCUUGGAAGUGAGAAUGCCGGUAUGAGUAGCGAAAAGAUAGGUGAGAAUCCUAUCCGUCGAAAGCCCAAGGUUUCCUGAGGAAGGCUCGUCCGCUCAGGGUUAGUCGGGACCUAAGCCGAGGCCGAAAGGCGUAGGCGAUGGACAACAGGUUGAUAUUCCUGUACCACCUCGUAUUCGUUUGAACGAUGGGGGGACGCAGAAAGGUAGGGUGAGCGCGCCGCUGGCUGUGCGCGUCGAAGCAUGCGAGGCUGGAACAUAGGCAAAUCCGUGUUCC